AUGAGGCUGGUGAUUGGAGUAACUGUUUUUCUGUCCUUGGGGACUGUGAUUGAUGCUAAGACCACUCAGCCCAGCUCCAUGGAUUGUGCUGAAGAGGAUGUAACCUUGUCUUGUAGCCACUCUACCAUUGGUGGAAAUGACUAUAUACAUUGGUAUCGGCAAAAUCCCAAUCAGAGCCCACAGUAUGUCAUUCAUGGCUUACGAAGCACAGUGAACAGCAGCAUGGCCUCUCUGACCAUAGAUUCAGACAGAAAGUCCAGCACCUUGGUCCUGCCCCAGGUCACCCUGAGAGACGCCGCUAUGUACUACUGCAUCCUGAGAGAGGCACACUGGGACAGAUGGGGCUGCAGCUGUGCAGCAUCUCUGGUGCGAAGAUGA